rnacentral:rRNA from 1 species
GAUGAACGCUGGCGGCGUGCCUAACACAUGCAAGUCGAGCGAAGCGCCUUACUUGAUUUCUUCGGGAUGAAAGUAUUGUGACUGAGCGGGCGACGGGUGAGGUAACGCGUGGUAUAACCUGCCUCAUACAGGGGGAUAACAGUUAGAAAUGACUGCUAAUACCGCAUAAGACCACAGCACCGCAUGGUGCAGGGGUAAAAACUCCGGUGGUAUGAGAUGGAUCCGCGUCUGAUUAGCUAGUUGGUAAGGUAACGGCUUACCAAGGCAACGAUCAGUAGCCGACCUGAGAGGGUGACCGGCCACAUUGGGACUGAGACACGGCCCAA